UUGUCUGUUUCUUUAAAGGAAGUUGAUCAAAGCGAAGGGUCCUGCAGCUGCUAAAACCAAUGAAGAAAAAGUCAAAGGUUUAGCGCUGUUUGGCCAGAAACCACCAACACCCAAGCUGCUCAAAGCCUUCGGGAAUUUACGUAAAGGAGCUGUGAAAGACAAAGCCAAGAAAGGGGAGGACGGAGAGAAGUAAUAAAGACCGACCCGAUGAUGAACCUGAACUUUACUAUUUCAACUCCUUAUCACCGAGGUAGCGGCUGCAAUCGAUCCAGUUUUAUCGUCAGAACUGUCGUAUUUAUGAGCGAUCUUCAGCUGAAACGUAUCCGAAUGGAGAUGACGCUCCUGUAAUUAUCCCAGAAUGAAAAUAUCAGCUUUAGAGAUC